AUGUCGGUCAAUACCUCUAAUUCAAUUUUGCAUUUUUCGAAUGAUGAGAUUGUUCAUAAUGCAAACCAACUAGGGAUUUCACUAGGUAAUAAUGAGGGUGAAAUUUCUAACUCCAUCAAUGAUUUGCUAGAUCUAGAAGCCGAGAGGGCUUUAGAUAUGGUUCGAAACUUAGUUGCCGUCAAACCCAUGAAUGAUUCCGAGAUUGAUGCCUUGGGAGUUCAGGUGCUUGAUAAUUUUUGCGCCGAUCUCGCACCUCCCCUCCCGGAGACGGAGGAGGAGGAUGAGAGUGUAGAGAUGGAUGUUGUUGGUCCCCCUGAAACGGGGAGUGAGGACCGGGUGGAUGAGAGGACCGGCCCUAAGCGCAAAUGGAAGCGCAAGAUUUACCCAACGUCUGCUGUGCGUAGGAGUGCUAGGAUCCGCACCGCUAAAAAAUUUCACGACGAGAUAUGA
rnacentral:rRNA from 1 species